UAUAGGGGGUGCAAACGUUGCUCGGAAUCAUUGGGCGUAAAGCGCACGUAGGCGGUUCGUUAUGUCGGAUGUGAAAGCCCUUGGCUUAACCGAGGAAGUGCAUCCGAAACUGGCGAGCUAGAGUACUAAAGAGGAUCGCGGAAUUCCCGGUGUAGAGGUGAAAUUCGUAGAUAUCGGGAGGAACACCGGUGGCGAAGGCGGCGAUCUGGGUAGAUACUGACGCUGAGGUGCGAAAGCGUGGGGAGCAAACAGG
rnacentral:rRNA from 1 species